rnacentral:rRNA from 1 species
CCAGACUCCUACGGGAGGCAGCAGUGAGGAAUAUUGGUCAAUGGCCGCAGGGCUGAGCCAGCCAAGUCGCGUGAGGGAUGACGGCCCUACGGGUUGUAAACCUCUUUUGUCGGGGAGCAAAUUCCGCCACGUGUGGCGGAGUCGAGAGUACCCGAAGAAAAAGCAUCGGCUAACUCCGUGCCAGCAGCCGCGGUAAUACGUAGGGGGCAAGCGUUAUCCGGAUUUACUGGGUGUAAAGGGGGCGCAGACGGCGAUGCAAGCCAGGAGUGAAAGCCCGGGGCCCAACCCCGGGACUGCUCUUGGAACUGCGUGGCUGGAGUGCAGGAGGGGCAGGCGGAAUUCCUGGUGUAGCGGUGAAAUGCGUAGAUAUCAGGAGGAACACCGGUGGCGAAGGCGGCCUGCUGGACUGCAACUGACGUUGAGGCCCGAAAGCGUGGGGAGCAAACAGGAUUAGAUACCCCAGUAU